ACCCUGAAUUAUCAAAGAAAAAAGGUUUUAAUCACCUGGUCCGUUUCUUUUGGAGAGGAAGAAGACCUCUUGGAUACUUCGGCUCCCGUUAAAAAAAAACCCCUGAAUGUUUGGAUCAGAUAAAGAUUCGUUCAGAUGAAUGAGAGAAGAGCUGAGCGGUUUGUCACCAACGUUUCACAACGUGCACAUUGGGCAAGUUUUUGAAAAACUCCCGUAACAGAUGAUAACCAUGAAAGCGAGACAGCGAGCAGAUCUUUGAAGUGCAGCUGUCAGUCAACGUGUUUCCAGAGUGGGAACUACGAGGGUAAAAUGACGUACAGAUUUGUUUAGAUGAAUGAAAGAAGAGCUGAGCGGUUUCCUCGAACGUGCCAUGAGAGUGACGAGUGGUGCAUGCAGAAAAAGAAGCACA